AUGUGCAGUCGCUGGGAGCCACGAACCCUUCCCAAAAGACACGUGGCUGCAGAGAGGUUUCCAGGAAUGCCUCCUCCCCGCUGCGCCCUCGCUGCGGCACAGUCUGCUCCUGCCCCAGCACGGAUCCGUCCUUGCCUCGGGCAUCCCCGGGGGAAAAAAAGCAGCGUUGUGGCAGCAGCCGGGAACAGGGACAGAAACCUGUGCCCAUCAGCUGCUGCUUCUGGCAGCUCCCUGGCUCCGCCACCCACCCCAACGUCUGCUGAGGCUCUGCCAGCAGCACCCGGCUGCUGUCCCUCUGCCCUGUCCCUGCUGUCACCAGCGCCGUGCCGUGGCACAGCCUGUCCCCUGCCCCGCCGAGGACAACAUUUCUCUGCCCUCCCCACUCCCGUGGCUGCGGGCAGAGCCUCCUCUCUCCCGACCCAGCCACGACUUCCAGCUCGGUGGAUUUUUCCCCUGCGUAACGCCUUGUUUGCGCCCGUUCACCCUCCAGCCCUUUGGCUGCAGCAACUCUGCCGAGGGAGACGACUUGCCAGGGAAUGUCACUUCUCAGCGCUGGCCCCGUCCUGCCCUCUGCGUGUUUGCUCUGCCGAUUCCCCUCUGUUCGCAGCCUGUUUGCUGCCAGGAGCGGCACAAGGCCAGCGCAGGGCCACCAAGCCGUCCCCUGCUGCCUUUGCCCUUUCAUCCCUCUCCUGCUCCAAAAUUUCUCCGAGCAGAAGCGCCGUGCCCAGCUGCAGACCCGCACACGCAGCCCUUCGGGCUGGCACCAGCGAGCAGUGCCACGGCAAUGGUGUCAUCGGUGUCCCCGCAGCCUUCCUCCCCCCCUCGUCACCGUCACCUGGUGGGGACAGAGCUGGGCACGGCUCCAUGGCUCCAGCCUGCAGGGCACCCUCGAGGCUUCCAGGGCCUUUGUGUCCCAAAACUGGGGAGGAAAAAUAUCUGGCUUCAUGGGGAGCAGUGGAGCCCCCCAUCUCCAGACCCCCUCCCCGCGUCCUCCUGAGUUCCUAA
rnacentral:lncRNA from 1 species